GCCGAGAUUUGCAUUGGAGAUGGAUGGGUUACACUUUUUUGAAACCAUCGUGUCGUAGUGCUUAUGGGGACCUGGGAGCGAUGAUAAUCUUCACUUUC